CUGAGGCGUGAUGACGAGGCACUACGGUGCUGAAGCAACAAAUGCCCUGCUUCCAGGAAAAGCCUCUAAGCAUCAGGUAACAUCAAAUCGUACCCCAAACCGACACAGGUGGUCAGGUAGAGAAUACCAAGGCGCUUGAGAGAACUCGGGUGAAGGAACUAGGCAAAAUGGUGCCGUAACUUCGGGAGAAGGCACGCUGACAUGUAGGUGAAGUGAUUUACUCAUGGAGCUGAAGUCAGUCGAAGAUACCAGCUGGCUGCAACUGUUUAUUAAAAACACAGCACUGUGCAAACACGAAAGUGGACGUAUACGGUGUGACGCCUGCCCGGUGCCGGAAGGUUAAUUGAUGGGGUCAGCGCAAGCGAAGCUCCUGAUCGAAGCCCCGGUAAACGGCGGCCGUAACUAUAACGGUCCUAAGGUAGCGAAAUUCCUUGUCGGGUAAGUUCCGACCUGCACGAAUGGCGUAAUGAUGGCCAGGCUGUCUCCACCCGAGACUCAGUGAAAUUGAACUCGCUGUGAAGAUGCAGUGUACCCGCGGCAAGACGGAAAGACCCCGUGAACCUUUACUAUAGCUUGACACUGAACAUUGAGCCUUGAUGUGUAGGAUAGGUGGGAGGCUUUGAAGUGUGGACGCCAGUCUGCAUGGAGCCGACCUUGAAAUACCACCCUUUAAUGUUUGAUGUUCUAACGUGGACCCGUGAUCCGGGUUGCGGACAGUGUCUGGUGGGUAGUUUGACUGGGGCGGUCUCCUCCUAAAGAGUAACGGAGGAGCACGAAGGUUGGCUAAUCCUGGUCGGACAUCAGGAGGUUAGUGCAAUGGCAUAAGCCAGCUUGACUGCGAGCGUGACGGCGCGAGCAGGUGCGAAAGCAGGUCAUAGUGAUCCGGUGGUUCUGAAUGGAAGGGCCAUCGCUCAACGGAUAAAAGGUACUCCGGGGAUAACAGGCUGAUACCGCCCAAGAGUUCAUAUCGACGGCGGUGUUUGGCACCUCGAUGUCGGCUCAUCACAUCCUGGGGCUGAAGUAGGUCCCAAGGGUAUGGCUGUUCGCCAUUUAAAGUGGUACGCGAGCUGGGUUUAGAACGUCGUGAGACAGUUCGGUCCCUAUCUGCCGUGGGCGCUGGAGAACUGAGGGGGGCUGCUCCUAGUACGAGAGGACCGGAGUGGACGCAUCACUGGUGUUCGGGUUGUCAUGCCAAUGGCACUGCCCGGUAGCUAAAUGCGGAAGAGAUAAGUGCUGAAAGCAUCUAAGCACGAAACUUGCCCCGAGAUGAGUUCUCCCUGAGACUUUAAGUCUCCUGAAGGAACGUUGAAGACGACGACGUUGAUAGGCCGGGUGUGUAAGCGCAGCGAUGCGUUGAGCUAACCGGUACUAAUGAACCGUGAGGCUUAACCUUACAACGCCGAAG
rnacentral:rRNA from 1 species